rnacentral:tRNA from 1 species
GAGGAUUUAGCUCAGUGGUAGAGCUCUUGCUUAGCAAGUGCAAGGCCCUGGGUUCAGUCCUCA